UGGGGAAUAUUGGACAAUGGGCGAAAGCCUGAUCCAGCCAUGCCGCGUGUGUGAAGAAGGUCUUCGGAUUGUAAAGCACUUUAAGUUGGGAGGAAGGGCAGUAAGCGAAUACCUUGCUGUUUUGACGUUACCGACAGAAUAAGCACCGGCUAACUCUGUGCCAGCAGCCGCGGUAAUACAGAGGGUGCAAGCGUUAAUCGGAAUUACUGGGCGUAAAGCGCGCGUAGGUGGUUCGUUAAGUUGAAUGUGAAAGCCCCGGGCUCAACCUGGGAACUGCAUCCAAAACUGGCGAGCUAGAGUAGGGCAGAGGGGGGUGGAAGUUGCUGUGUAGCGGUGAAAGGCAGAGAGAUAGGAAGGAACAGCAGAGGCGAGGGCGACCACCUGGGAUCAUACUGACACUGAGGUGCGAAAGCGUGGGGAGCAAACAGG
rnacentral:rRNA from 1 species